AGCGGCGGACGGGUGAGUAAUGCUUAGGAAUCUGCCUAUUAGUGGGGGACAACAUUCCGAAAGGAAUGCUAAUACCGCAUACGUCCUACGGGAGAAAGCAGGGGAUCUUCGGACCUUGCGCUAAUAGAUGAGCCUAAGUCGGAUUAGCUAGUUGGUGGGGUAAAGGCCUACCAAGGCGACGAUCUGUAGCGGGUCUGAGAGGAUGAUCCGCCACACUGGGACUGAGACACGGCCCAGACUCCUACGGGAGGCAGCAGUGGGGAAUAUUGGACAAUGGGGGGAACCCUGAUCCAGCCAUGCCGCGUGUGUGAAGAAGGCCUUAUGGUUGUAAAGCACUUUAAGCGAGGAGGAGGCUACUGAGACUAAUACUCUUGGAUAGUGGACGUUACUCGCAGAAUAAGCACCGGCUAACUCUGUGCCAGCAGCCGCGGUAAUGCAGAGGGUGCGAGCGUUAAUCGGAUUUACUGGGCGUAAAGCGUGCGUAGGCGGCUUUUUAAGUCGGAUGUGAAAUCCCCGAGCUUAACUUGGGAAUUGCAUUCGAUACUGGGAAG
rnacentral:rRNA from 1 species